UUUAACAUACCUAAAAUUUGGUUUUGCACGACUCAAGCAUUUAACCACCAGGAACUAGGACGAUGAGCCUAUCACGACAAGCUUUCACCACUGGAACUACACUUGAUUUCGUCGGUACUCAAUUUUUGAGAAUUUUUUGGUUGCGUGAGGUUAGAAGCCCUCCCGAACCUUCAAGUUUUUUUUUUUUUUUUUUCCCAAAUCCCCCUUUACCGUCUAUCCCUCAAUGGAUAUUUAUAGCAGAUUUUCGGCAUAGUAUUUGGGGGGAAACCCAUAAGAAAUUUAGGAUGAAGGAUUUGAAAUUCAAACUAGAAUUAAUCUUGACCCUCCGCGUUGAAUCUGAUCGAACGAUAUUGAGCGAAAUCCGGAUUAGCCCGUUGGAGAUGAUCUACCGUUGUUGACUUUUCGUUCUGGAUUUUACCGUGGUUGAGUUGAAAAUGGGUGUGUUUGGAGUUGCUUGCAGCUGUAAGGUUGGUGGAUAUAAGGGAAAGGAAGGGGAAAUAAGGUUGUGGGCCAGAUCAGGGGAUAUUUGGGCAGGUUGGUGUGUUAUUUGGGCCUGGGGGUUUGCUGAAAAAUGAAAAGGGAAAAUGGGCCAGCUGAAUGGUUGGCCCAAAAAGAAUAGGAAGGUUAUUUUGUAGUAAUGAAAUGGGCAUAAUUGGAUAAAUUCAAAUAAAAUUGAGAUGAAAUUAUCUUUCAAUUAAUUUAGCAAAUUUCUCAAAUUUAAUAAUUUUAAAAAAUAAAUAUAAUGAAACACAAUUUUAUUUUAUUUCUCUUUUUUUUUAAAUAAUUGUAAUAAUAUCAAUAAUAAUAAAUAAAAAUUAAGAAACUAAUUAUGUCAUCAAUUUUUAUUUUUAAUCAAUUAUAAAAAAAAUAGAAUAUUUACAAUUUAAUCAAAUUUUUCACUCAGAAUAAGUUUUAAAGAAAUUUCUUUAACUGAUAAUUACUAAAUAUAUUAUUUUAACCUAAAUUCAAAAGGUAAGGUCAAAAUUUAUUUCAAAAUAACUUAAAAUAAAUAAUUUAAAACUAUUUAAAAUUUAAGAAAUUCAAGAAUUGAUUUGAAAUGUGGAGGGAAAAAAUUAGGUGUCAACACCACUCGUAUGAUAUGGGUACGAGUGAGGGGUCCAAAUCGUACCCACCUUCGAAAUUUUUUACAGUUUAAGUUGGGAGUAUUCUGGACGUUUCCCUUCUUAACUUCUUUUGACUCCACAACUUAAAAUAGUCUUGGGACUUUAUUAACCUACUAUUCUCAAAUCAAACACUCUAAUCUCUCUCAAUACUCUUAGUUUAAAAAGAGGCUAAGGUUUCUUCAAAGUGAUCAAUUAAGGCUCUCAAGGGUGGUUUCUCUUCGUCUUCUUUGGUAUCUAAGUCAUGUUACUCAUCCCUCAUUGUUAGUUCAAACUAAAAACAUGUUUUACUUAAUGGUUUUCAUGGCAUUAUUGUGGGUUUGUAUUGGUUUUGAAAUAUAGGUUGGGGGUUUUGGUUACUAAUGGUUGGAUGAUGUUUUCCCCAUAUUCUAUUUAUAGUUUUCAUGUUAUAAUGUUGGUUUGAACAUGUGGUUGCAUGGGAAUGACUAAUUGGUUCUUGGUUUUGGUUUUGGAAACUAUUUUCCCUCAACAUGUUUGUUAAAAUGCCAAUGAGAAUGUUUUUGUCAUAAAGUUUGACUUUUAUUAAAAAUCUUACAUGGCAUAAUAUGAUAAUGGAACCCUAAAUGGUUUAAUUGAAUUAAAUGAUUUGGCAAGGCCUUGGUGGCCAUGGUUUUGAUUGAUUGAAAAUUUUAUGGGGUACAUGGGAAUCCACUAAGUAUUGGCUAAUGAUAUUGUUUGCAAGCUAUAGUCGGUAUGACGAUACCACUUCAUAAUGCCUUGUAAUAAACUCGAAAAUUCGUGGUUUGGUUAAGUUCUAAAAACUUUAAUUGGAAAAUAAUGGCGGCUUGUGAUAGCUAGCCGUGAAGGUGUGAGUCCAAUGAACGGACAUUGGAAACUCAUGUUUGGCGACAUGAGGGUUGGGCAUGGUGACCAUAUACUUGUGGGGUACACAAAAAUCCCCUAAGUUACAUCUGUAUAUAAGUAUCAUGGAGGGCGAACGGUACACAAAAAUCCUCAGCCCCUAUGAUAUCUCCAGUUCGUGCAGCUACACGCACUAGGGACCGUUCAGGGGGUAACACUGGACCCAUAUAGCCCGUGUGUGGUCAUAGGAUGGUCAAGCUACACAACCCAGGUUAAAGUUUUAAAUGCAUGCUAAACCCGAUUCCCUUUCCCAUCACACAUACACACAGAUAUAUAUGUAUGUAUGUAUGUAUGUAUGCAUAUAUGUAUGAAUGUGAAUGAACUUGGUUAUUUACCUAGUUUUAUAUAUUAGCAUUAUUUUAUCCUUAUUUCUUAGUACAUGCUAGCGUUCACCUGCUAACUCGUCUUCGGACGCUGUAUCCCCAUGUAAUACAGGAACCGUCAUACUACUCCUCAUAUACAGUGAUAUUGGAUUAGGGGACAACAUUCAUUUUAGACUCAAGUGGUGGGUUUUUAUACUUCGAAAGACUUCAUUUCAUGCUAUGGAUAUAUUUUCAUACUUUUGUUUAUUUCUUGGACUUUGAUUUUGGCUAUGGUCGGGGGCAUGUCCUGACCAAAUAUUCUUUAUUUUUUAUUAGAUGCUUUGUGUGUCUACUAUGGGCAUAGGCAGUGUUGGUAUUAGUAUCAACCUUGGCAUUGGUAUUGGUAUUGGUAUUGGGCCUGAUACCGGUUGGACGUUCGGUUGGAUGUUUGGAUGGUUGUGGUUAUGGAAUUGUCUUUGAUUAUUUAUUAUUCUAACUUCUUAUAUGUUCGGAAUUCAUCUGACAUAGGGUACAGGGCGUUUAUGGUUGGGUAUUGGGGUGGUCUCUGAUCUCGAUCGGGUUUGAGGCACCCGACACGACUAGGCCCUGGUUUGGGUCAUGUCAGUUUUAUUAUGUUUUGGAGAUUUAUCCAUAUUUUUGUUAAACAACUAGUGAAAUGCACAAUUGUAGAUUGAUAGUUGAGUUGUACAUUGCAGUUAGUUAGAAUCAGUCAGAGUUAGUUGAUUAGUUAGUCUAACUUAAUUAACAACAUUUGUG
rnacentral:lncRNA from 1 species